CAGCCGUAAACUAUGCGCGUUAGGUGUACUGGUGACCACGAGUCACCGGGGUGCCGAAGGGAAACCGUGAAACGUGCCGCCUGGGAAGUACGGUCGCAAGGCUGAAACUUAAAGGAAUUGGCGGGGGGAGGACCACAACGGGUGGAGCCUGCGGUUUAAUUGGACUCAACGCCGGAAAUCUCACCGGAUAGGACAGACAUAUGAUAGUCGGGCUGAAGACUCUACUUGAUGAUCUGAGAGGUGGUGCAUGGCGUCAGUGACU
rnacentral:rRNA from 1 species